AUACGGAGGGUGCAAGCGUUACUCGGAAUCACUGGGCGUAAAGCGCGCGCAGGCGGCUUGAUAAGUUGGAUGUGAAAGCCUACAGCUCAACUGUAGAACUGCACCCAAAACUAUCAGACUAGAGUCUGGGAGGGGAAGAUGGAAUUAGUUGUGUAGGGGUAAAAUCCGUAGAGAUAACUAGGAAUACCAAAAGCGAAGGCGAUCUUCUGGAACAGUACUGACGCUGAGGCGCGAAAGCGUGGGGAGCAAACAGGAUUAGAAACCCGGGUAGUCC
rnacentral:rRNA from 1 species